AGUUCUAGCCAAUCAGAAAGCUAUUAAAAUUUAGUCUCAUUAUGAAUCUAUGCGCAUUGUAAUGCGCAUGGCGUCAGUCUACAGUUGAAAAUCGUGGUGACGGGUCACGUUUUACCAGUGAAGUGUAUAAUUAUAAAAAAUUUGUUAUUAAUUAUUAAUUCUUAAACUUAAUACAUGUUUGUUUAAUCAUAUUAUAUCAGAAUUAAACAAUACUUUGAACUUUUGUCGAUUUUGACCAGUUUGAAGACGAAAAGUGAAAUAAUUUUUUUACAUAUGGCGAUUAAAAUAUAAUCUGACGGUUUUUAUGCAAAUAUGAUAAGAAGCCAAUUGCUAAGAUUACUUUGAGCAAGAAAAAGGAUUUUCAAUAUGAGUGCCAUGAUGAUAAUUCAUAUUUUACGAGGAAAAGAUAUUUUCCAGUUUUCACAAUGAUUUCCCAUGAACAAUAAUAAGAAAAUUCUUCUCAUCAAAUGGUGAGUCACAUACAUUUCUGUUCCUCCGGUCAUUCAAUCAUGUCAUAGAAUGAAGGAUCUAAAUCGAUAUGAAUGACUGGUUGUAUAAAUAGAAUUUUGCACGAGCAUAGUGACCACGGGUAUUUAUUUUACUCGUGAAUAGUAACAUUUCUUUUUUUCUGUAUUUUAUUUAUUAGAUUAGGAUAGGUCUUCUUGUAUCGCAUUUUUUAAUUAUAAACCAAGUAUGAUUUGAAAUAUAAAUAUUUUAUUUUUUUUUAUAAAAAUGUACUAAAUCUUAUAUACAAGAAGACAUUACGCGACAGGUAGAUUUUUGAAUCAGAGCAACAAGUUGUGAACAUUAUUUUUGCAUUUUCGAA